rnacentral:lncRNA from 1 species
UUUCUCUUCAAGUUAAUCUUGGACCAUAGAUUGCGAUCUAUCUAGUUUAGUGAAAGCUCAUUAUAGCUUUUCUGGGAAUCAAUUUUUCCAGGAAGUCGAUGUUAUUUUCAAUAAAGUGAUUUACUCUUUGUCAGCUAUUGCAUCAACUGCACAAAAGUGCAAACCCCUUUGGUGGCUUGCUGUAAGUCAUAAAAACUACUAGUAAGAACAUAAAACAGGGCUAGUUUGAUGGAGUUUCUUCAGUCUGAAAUGCUCUGGUGGCAUCAUUCUUCAUCCCAAAAAUAUGGAGAGGAGCAGAAAGGUGUGGUGGGGGGAUCUGAUACCUUUAGGGACAGUUGAGGUGAGAGCUGGUGGAAGGACAAUUCAUGGAGAAGGAAGAGCCGUUUUCUGGUGUCAGUUUGAAACGUCCUGAAUCACCAAGAAUUUUUGCAUAAGGUGCAGAUGCUUCGGUGGUUGGCCGCUCACCAGUUCUAGACUGGUUGAUGACCCUGUAUAAGGAAUGAGACCCUCCAUGAGAAAGGUAUAGAAAAGGGAGAGAAAGAUAUACUAGUAGAUCAUUUUGACAUUAACUGAAGAUGUCUUAACAUGAAGACUAACUUAGUAGUUUAUAAAUGUAAUCAAUCAACCAGUUUAUAUAACUUUAAUUAACGUUUUAACAAUAAACAAUUAUGAUAUUUGAAAUUAAUUAAUAUAAUGUUAAUAGCAAUAUAUUAAUUUUACUUUUAUGUAUGAACAUAAAAUACUUAAAUUUCAUUUUAAAAUUUUCAUUAAAAUUCUUGUACUUUUUUGUCAGCUAUUGCAUCAAUUGCACAAAAGCGCAAGCUCCUUUUGGCGGCUUGCUCUUAUUCAUAGAACUACUUGUAACAACAGAAUACAGGGCUAGUUUUUGAUGCAGUUUCUUUGGCCAGAAAUACAUUGGUGAAGUCUUGUGUUCUGUCUAGUCAUUAAAGCACUGGUGACAUUGUUCUCAUCACAAAAAUAUGGGCGAGGAGCAGAAAGGUGAAGUGGGGAUCUGAUACCUUUGGAGACAAUGAGGUGAGAGCUGGUGGAAGGACUAUUCAUGGAGAAGGAAUAGCCAUUUUCUGGUGGCACUUUGAAACGUCCUGAAUCACCAGGAAGUCUUGCGUACGGUCCAGGAUGUGGUUCAUUGAACAAGGAUCCUUCUGUGGUUGGCUGCUCACCAUUUCUAUACUGAAUGAUGACCCUGUAUAUGAAAGGAAUGAGACCCUCCAUGAGAAAAAGAGAUAAUGGAAAAGGGAGAGAGAUAUCUUCAGCUCGGGGAAAUUACCUCAAAUGGUUAAUAAAUAGACGAAAUAGGAGUAUAUUUUGGUAGAAAGUCCACCUCUUACUGCCUAAAUUGAGAGCUCA